rnacentral:sRNA from 1 species
CCUUGUCGACGCGCUGUACCUCCUCCCACGGCGCCCGACAUGAGAUCGGUUCCACUCCUCCUCCCAGAACCGAUCGAGUUCAAAGACCCCGACGCCACCUCCUCCCGGCUCGGGGUCUUUUC